rnacentral:rRNA from 1 species
UGAAUACGAGACGCUACGGCGUCGAAGCAGUCUAUGUCAUACUUCCAAGAAAAGCUUGCACUGUCAUAAACAAAUAAUGCCUGUACCAUAACCGACACAGGUGGGUAGGUAGAGUAUACUAAGGGGCGCGAGAUAACUCUCUCUAAGGAACUCGGCAAAAUGACUCCGUAACUUCGGGAGAAGGAGUGCCUUAUUUAUAAGGUUGCAAUAACAAGAUCCAAGCAACUGUUUAUCAAAAACACAGGUCUCCGCUAAGUCGCAAGACGAUGUAUGGGGGCUGACGCCUGCCCAGUGCCAGAAGGUUAAAGAAGUUGGUUAGCAUUAGCGAAGCUGAUAACUGAAGCCCUGGUGAACGGCGGCCGUAACAAUAACGGUCCUAAGGUAGCGAAAUUCCUUGUCGGGUAAGUUCCGACCCGCACGAAAGGCGUAAUGAUUUGGAUACUGUCUCGGAGAGGGACUCGGUGAAAUAGACUUGUCUGUGAAGAUGCGGACUACCUGCACCAGGACAGAAAGACCCUAUGAAGCUUUACUGUAACCUGAAAUUGAAAUUGGACUUUAUUUGCGCAGUAUAGGUGGGAGGCAUUGAUAAUAUUCUUGCGGGAAUGUUGGAGCCAUCAGUGAGAUACCACUCUUGUAAUGUUAGAUUUCUAACUUUGUAUCAUUAUCUGGUCAAAGAACAGUUUCAGGCGGGCAGUUUGACUGGGGCGGUCGCCUCCCAAAUGGUAACGGAGGCGCACAAAGGUUUCCUCUGAACGGGUAGAAAUCGUAUCUAGAGUGUAAAGGCAUAAGGAAGCUUGACUGUGAGACCUACAAGUCGAGCAGGGACGAAAGUCGGUCUUAGUGAUCUGACGGUGCUGAGUGGAAAGGCCGUCACUCAACGGAUAAAAGUUACUCUAGGAUAACAGGCUGAUCUCCCCCAAGAGUUCACAUCGACGGGGAGGUUUGGCACCUCGAUGUCGGCUCAUCGCAUCCUGGGGCGGUAGUACGUCCCAAGGGUUGGGCUGUUCGCCCAUGAAAGCGGUACGCGAGCUGGGUUCAGAACGUCGUGAGACAGUUCGGUCCAUAUCCGGUGUAGGCGUUAGAAUAUUGAGAGGAGCCUUCUUUAGUACGAGAGGACCGAGAAGGACAUACCUCUGGUGUACCAGUUAUCGUGCCAACGGUAAACGCUGGGUAGCUAUGUAUGGAGAGGAUAACCGCUGAAAGCAUCUAAGUGGGAAGCCCACCUCAAGAUAAGUAUUCU